ACGGAAGGCAGCAGUGGGGAAUACUGGGCAAUGGGCGAAAGCCUGACCCAGCAACGCCGCGUGAAGGAAGAAGGUCUUCGGAUUGUAAACUUCUUUUAUCAGGGACGAAGAGAGUGACGGUACCUGAUGAAUAAGCCACGGCUAACUACGUGCCAGCAGCCGCGGUAAUACGUAGGUGGCGAGCGUUAUCCGGAUUUACUGGGUGUAAAGGGCGCGUAGGCGGGGAUGCAAGUCAGAUGUGAAAUCUAUGGGCUUAACCCAUAAACUGCAUUUGAAACUGUAUCUCUUGAGUGUCGGAGAGGUAGAUGGAAUUCCUAGUGUAGCGGUGAAAUGCGUAGAUAUUAGGAGGAACACCAGUGGCGAAGGCGGCUUGCUGGACGAUAACUGACGCUGAGGCGCGAAAGCGUGGGGAGCAAACAGGAUUAGAUACCCUGGUA
rnacentral:rRNA from 1 species